UUUCGAGGAGAGAGAAGAGGCGGCCGGCGGCCCAGUUAUUUUCACAACUCAAGGACGCCGUGUGUGCUGUUGUCUAUAGUAUAACUUAUUGUGCGCGCAUAUUCUUUUCUGUUUAAAUAUAUCCAUGUGUCCAUUUAAUUUAGCAACCAGUUCUCACUUUUUCUUUCGAUUUUUCCUUUAAUAAUAUAUUAUAAGUUUGUUUGGUUUGGUUUUUGUUGUCAGAGACGUCGUCCCCUCUCUUUUUAGGCGCCUUUUUCAUCUGUUUAUUGGCAUGCACGGCAUUUGUCCGUUUCUCUUUCACAAGGCAUCGCCAUUAUAUGCCAGCAAGGCAGCCAGCCAGCCAUUCAGCCAGCACCAGCCAGUCAGCCAGCCGCUAACCCGGUCCGUUACCGAGAGAAAGGAUGAAUUCGGCAUUCGGCAUUCGACGCAGCAGUUCUUCCGCGCCUGGCUGGCGUGACGCAAGCACGUCAUGAUCGAUCCUCGGGAUAUAUAAUAUUAUUGUUGUGGUCGGUUGUUUUGAUUUCUUUGGACUAUGUCGGUGAAGGCCGGCGGGUGAUGGCGAAAGUCCUGUUACAAUAAAUGACGCCGUUACCUUAUGAAUUCCAAAUGAGAUGAUGAA